rnacentral:rRNA from 1 species
UACGAAGGAUGCAAGCGUUAUCCGGAUUUAUUGGGUUUAAAGGGUGCGUAGGCGGACUUAUAAGUCAUUGGUGAAAUCUCGUUGCUUAACAACGAACGUGCCAUUGAUACUGUAGGUCUUGAGUACAGAUGCCGUUGGCGGAAUGUGUCAUGUAGCGGUGAAAUGCAUAGAUAUGACACAGAACACCGAUUGCGAAGGCAGCUGACGAAACUGUAACUGACGCUGAGGCACGAAAGCGUGGGGAUCAAACAGG